UGACCCAAUGAUGAUAAACUAAGCGCAUAGAGGGAAUUGGUGUGUAAAGAUGACUUUGGGAAUUCUUUUUCUUCUCUCUCCUUCUUUCUCCACUUUUCUCUGUCUCUCCUUAAAGUCUCUGUCACUCCUGUCCCAGUGAGCGUCAAGAUUAUGAGAUCUGAGGGUCA